GACGAACGCUGGCGGCGUGCCUAAUACAUGCAAGUCGAACGCACAGUUUAUACCGUAGCUUGCUACACCAUAGACUGUGAGUUGCGAACGGGUGAGUAACGCGUAGGUAACCUGCCUGGUAGCGGGGGAUAACUAUUGGAAACGAUAGCUAAUACCGCAUAAUAUUAAUUAUUGCAUGAUAAUUAAUUGAAAGGUGCAAUUGCACCACUACCAGAUGGACCUGCGUUGUAUUAGCUAGUAGGUGAGGUAACGGCUCACCUAGGCGACGAUACAUAGCCGACCUGAGAGGGUGAUCGGCCACACUGGGACUGAGACACGGCCCAGACUCCUGCGGGAGGCAGCAGUAGGGAAUCUUCGGCAAUGGACGAAAGUCUGACCGAGCAACGCCGCGUGAGUGAAGAAGGGUUUCGGAUCGUAAAGCUCUGUUGUAAGAGAAGAACGGGUGUGAGAGUGGAAAGUUCACACUGUGACGGUAUCUUACCAGAAAGGGACGGCUAACUACGUG
rnacentral:rRNA from 1 species